rnacentral:rRNA from 1 species
CCUACGGGUGGCAGCAGUGAGGAAUAUUGGUCAAUGGACGCAAGUCUGAACCAGCCAUGCCGCGUGCAGGAAGACGGCUCUCUGAGUUGUAAACUGCUUUUGUACGAGGGUAAACGCAGAUACGCGUAUCUGUCUCAAAGUAUCGUACGAAUAAGGAUCGGCUAACUCCGUGCCAGCCGCCGCGGUAAUACGGAGGAUUCAAGCGUUAUCCGGAUUUAUUGGGUUUAAAGGGUGCGUAGGCGGUCGGAUAAGUUAGAUGUGAAAUCCCGAGGCUCAACUUCGGAAUUGCCUUGGAUACUGGUCGGCUAGAGAGUAGUUGCGGUAGGCGGAAUGUAUGGUGUAGCGGUGAAAUGCUUAGAGAUCAUACAGAACACCGAUUGCGAAGGCAGCCUACCAAGCUACUUCUGACGUUGAGGCACGAAAGCGUGGGGAGCAAACAGGAUUAGAUACCCUUGUAGUC